GUGAGGCAUGCUGGAGGUAUCAGAAGUGCGAAUGCUGACAUAAGUAACGAUAAAGCGGGUGAAAAGCCCGCUCGCCGGAAGACCAAGGGUUCCUGUUCAACGUUAAUCGGAGCAGGGUGAGUCGACCCCUAAGGCGAGGCCGAAAGGCGUAGUCGAUGGGAAACAGGUUAAUAUUCCUGUACUCGGUGUUACUGCGAAGGGGGGACGGAGAAGGCUAUAUCAGCCGGGCGACGGUUGUCCCGGUUUAAGCGUGUAGGCGGAGGGUCCAGGUAAAUCCGGACUCUUUUAACGCUGAGGCGUGAUGACGAGGCACUACGGUGCUGAAGUGAUAAAUGCCCUGCUUCCAGGAAAAGCCUCUAAGCAUCAGGUAACACAGAAUCGUACCCCAAACCGACACAGGUGGUCAGGUAGAGAAUACCAAGGCGCUUGAGAGAACUCGGGUGAAGGAACUAGGCAAAAUGGUGCCGUAACUUCGGGAGAAGGCACGCUGGCGCGUAGGUGAAGGGACUUGCUCCCGGAGCUGAAGCCAGUCGAAGAUACCAGCUGGCUGCAACUGUUUAUUAAAAACACAGCACUGUGCAAACACGAAAGUGGACGUAUACGGUGUGACGCCUGCCCGGUGCCGGAAGGUUAAUUGAUGGGGUUAUCCGUAAGGAGAAGCUCUUGAUCGAAGCCCCGGUAAACGGCGGCCGUAACUAUAACGGUCCUAAGGUAGCGAAAUUCCUUGUCGGGUAAGUUCCGACCUGCACGAAUGGCGUAAUGAUGGCCAGGCUGUCUCCACCCGAGACUCAGUGAAAUUGAACUCGCUGUGAAGAUGCAGUGUACCCGCGGCAAGACGGAAAGACCCCGUGAACCUUUACUACAGCUUGACACUGAACAUUGAGCCUUGAUGUGUAGGAUAGGUGGGAGGCUUUGAAGCGCGGACGCCAGUCUGCGUGGAGCCAUCCUUGAAAUACCACCCUUUAAUGUUUGAUGUUCUAACGUGGCCCCGUGAUCCGGGGUGCGGACAGUGUCUGGUGGGUAGUUUGACUGGGGCGGUCUCCUCCCAAAGAGUAACGGAGGAGCACGAAGGUCAGCUAAUCACGGUCGGACAUCGUGAGGUUAGUGCAAUGGCAUAAGCUGGCUUGACUGCGAGAGUGACGGCUCGAGCAGGUGCGAAAGCAGGUCAUAGUGAUCCGGUGGUUCUGAAUGGAAGGGCCAUCGCUCAACGGAUAAAAGGUACUCCGGGGAUAACAGGCUGAUACCGCCCAAGAGUUCAUAUCGACGGCGGUGUUUGGCACCUCGAUGUCGGCUCAUCACAUCCUGGGGCUGAAGUAGGUCCCAAGGGUACGGCUGUUCGCCGUUUAAAGUGGUACGCGAGCUGGGUUUAGAACGUCGUGAGACAGUUCGGUCCCUAUCUGCCGUGGGCGCUGGAGAAUUGAGGGGGGUUGCUCCUAGUACGAGAGGACCGGAGUGAACGCACCACUGGUGUUCGGGUUGUCAUGCCAAUGGCACUGCCCGGUAGCUAAGUGCGGAAAAGAUAAGUGCUGAAAGCAUCUAAGCACGAAACUUGCCCCGAGAUGAGUUCUCCCUGAC
rnacentral:rRNA from 1 species